AGUGAACGCUGGCGGUAGGCCUAACACAUGCCAGUCGAGCGGCAGCACAGUAAGAGCUUGCUCUUACGGGUGGCGAGUGGCGGACGGGUGAGGAAUACAUCGGAAUCUACUUUUUCGUGGGGGAUAACGUAGGGAAACUUACGCUAAUACCGCGUACGACCUACGGGUGAAAGCAGGGGAUCUUCGGACCUUGCGCGAUUGAAUGAGCCGAUGUCGGAUUAGCUAGUUGGCGGGGUAAAGGCCCACCAAGGCGACGAUCCGUAGCUGGUCUGAGAGGAUGAUCAGCCACACUGGAACUGAGACACGGUCCAGACUCCUACGGGAGGCAGCAGUGGGGAAUAUUGGACAAUGGGCGCAAGCCUGAUCCAGCCAUACCGCGUGGGUGAAGAAGGCCUUCGGGUUGUAAAGCCCUUUUGUUGGGAAAGAAAAGCAGCAGGUUAAUACCCCGCUGUUCUGACGGUACCCAAAGAAUAAGCACCGGCUAACUUCGUG
rnacentral:rRNA from 1 species